rnacentral:misc_RNA from 1 species
GAUGAAGAACGUAGCGAAAUGCGAUACGUAAUGUGAAUUGCAGAAUUCAGUGAAUCAUCGAGUCUUUGAACGCACAUUGCGCCCCCUGGUAUUCCGGGGGGCAUGCCUGUCCGAGCGUCAUUGCUGCCCUCAAGCACGGCUUGUGUGUUGGGCCUCCGUCCUCUUCCCGGGGGACGGGCCCGAAAGGCAGCGGCGGCACCGCGUCCGGUCCUCGAGCGUAUGGGGCUUCGUCACCCGCUCUUGUAGGCCCGGCCGGCGCUUGCCGACACAUCAAUCUUUUUUCCAGGUUGACCUCGGAUCAGGUAGGGAUACCCGCUGAACUUAAGCAUAUCAAAAGCGGAGGA